UUGUCUAGACUCGGCCCAUCGCUUAUGCCUCUUUCGCACUCCUCACCGAGGAGAGCGCGAGAAUAACGGCCAGUCUGCGCACGUGAAAUCUUGAGGUAAUACUAGGCGGCGGCCUGCGUGUAGGCGCGGACUUGCCGAGGAAUGAAUAAUCUGUUAAAGCUGGAUUGCGGCAUUCAAAUUCCAAGAAAGACGGGCGUCGACAUGGCAGCAAAUUCAGAAUUGUCCAAGGACGGUUUUCAUGUGCAGAGGAUUAGAAGAUGAGCUUACUCCUCUGGAGAAGGUUCUUCGUAGUGCGUGUGUUAUUCCGCGCCACUGUUUGGAAAAUUGGCGGUGUUAUAUUUAGUUUUGUUUUUGCGGACUGGUAGUGAAAGACGAAAGAUAAGCGCGUCUUGAGCGCCCUGGGUGGUUCUCAUUAUGCCGUACCCUGAGAGGAAUUCCCACUUAACGAACUCAAAUCUAGCGAGAUGGACAAUUGAGCAAAAAAAAUAUAUACCAGGACUUGUCAAAUUCCACAGACAUUCCAGAAGGAUUGUAUGAUUUAUAGUACUGACCAUGGCUGAGAGAUCAAGAAGCAUCUGGAUAUACACUGCACUGUUUCCAUCCUGGUCCUUCCAAAGGUCAUCAACAAGAGCAAUCAUUGCAUUUUCUGUGCUCUAUCCUGUUCUGAAAGAUGACUGAAACAAGUUUAAAUAAUCAGUCCCCUCACGGUUCUGAAGUUGUUCCCCAACCAUCUUUUCAGUGACCUUCCCUUGAAGACUGAAUGAAAAACUUUGGAUUUGAUGGCCCUCUUGUGUUGGGAGCACUCCACCACCUGUUUUAAGAUUGGAGGAACACUUCUUCAAGGAGACUGACACCACUGCAUGGAGUCAAUCAUAUGUCACUUCCAGGGCAGCAUCAAUAACCCAGUAGAGUUAUAGAUCUAAUAAACUGGUGGCUAAGCUCAUCAUUUGAAGGACUCUGUCUAUUUAAUUGGGAGUCACAAGAUCAAACUCAUUCUAGAUAAACAAUAAGACACUGCCCCAAGCCCCUCAACUGAACUUGCUUAGUCAACCUCCAACUCCAAGCAGAUCUGAAUGACUUUAUCCAUCAGAUAACUAGAAUAUGUUUUGCAGCACCCCUCAGUAUUCUUGGGGCUUGUCCCUUUCAAGCAAGAAUGAGUCAUCCUGAAUGGUUAUUAGCAGACCAAGCAGAGCAGUCAAGAUGCUUUGCUGGUCUUACAGGCACAAUUUAAUCCCAAAUAUUGGCUCUUUCUCAUGUUCAGUCAGCUUUGUUCUUUGUCUUUUUCCAUCAAUUCAAUAAACAUGUCUUUUAGACCUUGGCCAAA